CAGUAUUAGAGUUUAUCUAUGUCCAUUACUAUAGGGUUUUACUCACCAUGAUAAGAUUUUAUCACAAACUAUUUACAUUUAAUUGUAAUUCACCUUUAAUCAUGACAAAAUUUUAUCAUGAUAAAUAAAAUUCAAUAACAAUGGGAACAGUUAAAACCAGGACACUGCUCUUUAACUAGUGCCUUAAGGGCACUUGUUAGAAAAACCCAAUAAAAAGUAGCAACAUAUUCAGAACUAAAACUAGGGAUAAUAUUGGAUACAAGACAUCUGCAUAUUUGCUCCAUAUUCUU
rnacentral:misc_RNA from 1 species